GAUGAACGCUAGCGGCAGGCUUAACACAUGCAAGUCGAGGGGCAACACGGGUAGCAAUACCUGGUGGCGACCGGCGCAAGGGUGCGUAACGCGUGAGCAACAUGCCCUAUACAGGGGGAUAAUCCAGGGAAACUUGGUCUAAUAUCCCAUAGUAUUUAGAGGUGGCAUCACCACUAAAUUAAAGCUUCGGUGGUAUAGGAUUGGCUCGCGUGACAUUAGCUGGAUGGUGGGGUAACGGCUCACCAUGGCGAUGAUGUCUAGGGGUUCUGAGAGGAAGACCCCCCACACUGGGACUGAGACACGGCCCAGACUCCUACGGGAGGCAGCAGUAGGGAAUUUUGCGCAAUGGACGGAAGUCUGACGCAGCAACGCCGCGUGAAGGAUGAAGGCCUUCGGGUUGUAAACUUCUGUUGGAUGGGAAAAAAAGCCUUUUAAGAGGAAUUGAUGGUACCAUUCGAGUAAGCACCGGCUAACUACGUG
rnacentral:rRNA from 1 species